rnacentral:rRNA from 1 species
UCGAGCGGACAGAUGGGAGCUUGCUCCCUGAUGUUAGCGGCGGACGGGUGAGUAACACGUGGGUAACCUGCCUGUAAGACUGGGAUAACUCCGGGAAACCGGGGCUAAUACCGGAUGGUUGUUUGAACCGCAUGGUUCAAACAUAAAAGGUGGCUUCGGCUACCACUUACAGAUGGACCCGCGGCGCAUUAGCUAGUUGGUGAGGUAACGGCUCACCCCGGCAACGAUGCGUAGCCGACCUGAGAGGGUGAUCGGCCACCCUGGGACUGAGACACGGCCCAGACUCCUAUGGGAGGCAGCACUAGGGAAUCUUCCCCCCUGGACGAAAGUCUGACGGAGCAACGCCGCGUGAGUGAUGAAGGUUUUCGGAUCGUAAAGCUCUGUUGUUAGGGAAGAACAAAUACCGUUCGAAUAGGGCGGUACCUUGACGGUACCUAACCAGAAAGCCACGGCUAACUACGUGCCAGCAGCCGCGGUAAUACGUAAGUGGCAAGCGUUGUCCGGAAUUAUUGGGCGUAAAGGGCUCGCAGGCGGUUUCUUAAUUCUGAUGUGAAAGCCCCCGGCUCAACCGGGGAGGGUCAUUGGAAACUGGGGAACUUGAGUGCAGAAGAGGAGAGUGGAAUUCCACGUGUAUCGGUGAAAUGCGUAGAGAUGUGGAGGAACACCAGUGGCGAAGGCGACUCUCUGGUCUGUAACUGACGCUGAGGAGCGAAAGCGUGGGGAGCGAACAGGAUUAUAUACCCUGGUAGUCCACCUCGUAACGAUGAGUGCUAAGUGUUAGGGGGUUUCCGCCCCUUACUGCUGCAGCUAACGCAUUAAGCACUCUCGCCUGGGGAGUACAGGUCGCAAGACUGAAACUCAAAGGAAUU